GACGAACGCUGGCGGCGUGCCUAACACAUGCAAGUCGAGCGGAGUCAGUAAGAGGAAGUUUUCGGAUGGAAUCUUAUUGAUUUAGCGGCGGACGGGUGAGUAACGCGUGAGCGACCAACCUUGCACAGGGGGAUAACGGACCGAAAGGUUCACUAAUACCGCAUGAGACCACGGUGUUGCAUGACACAGAGGUCAAAGGAGCAAUCCGGUGCAAGACGGGCUCGCGUCCGAUUAGGUAGUUGGAGGGGUAACGGCCCACCAAGCCUAUGAUCGGUAGCCGACCUGAGAGGGUGAUCGGCCACAUUGGAACUGAGAUACGGUCCAAACUCCUACGGGAGGCAGCAGUGGGGAAUAUUGGGCAAUGGGGGAAACCCUGACCCAGCAACGCCGCGUGAAGGAAGAAGGUUUUCGGAUUGUAAACUUCUGUCCUUGGUGAAGAGAAGAAGACGGUAGCCAAGGAGGAAGCCCCGGCUAACUACGUGCCAGCCGCCGCAGUAAGAC
rnacentral:rRNA from 1 species